CGAAACCAGGUGAUCUACCCAUGUCCAGGAUGAAGGUAAGGUAAUACUUACUGGAGGUCCGAACCCACGCACGUUGAAAAGUGCGGGGAUGAGGUGUGGGUAGCGGAGAAAUUCCAAUCGAACUUGGAGAUAGCUGGUUCUCUCCGAAAUAGCUUUAGGGCUAGCCUCGAGGUAAAGAGUCAUGGAGGUAGAGCACUGUUUGGACUAGGGGCCCUUCUCGGGUUACCGAAUUCAGAUAAACUCCGAAUGCCAUGUACUUAUACUCGGGAGUCAGACUGCGAGUGAUAAGAUCCGUAGUCGAAAGGGAAACAGCCCAGACCACCAGUUAAGGUCCCCAAAUAUAU
rnacentral:rRNA from 1 species